rnacentral:lncRNA from 1 species
AAAAAACUACAUUACAAUAUUUAAAAUGAAAUAGUUAAACAAUAAUUCUAAAUAGACAAACAAAUACUUUAAUAUUCUUUUUAAAAUAUAAUUCUUAUUUAUAAACGAGGUUAUAUGUUAUAAAAUUUAACUUCAAAUAUUAAAUCUCAUUACAAUGCUAAAAAAAAACUAUCAAUCGUAUCUUUCAAAUUUACCUAUCUAUUAUAAUAUAUUAAAACUGAGUCUCACACUAUUUUAUUGAC